ACUGUGUGAUGACACAGAGGGAAGAUGGCCAAAAAGAGACGCCUCAGGAGAAACCCACCCUGUGGAUACCUUGAUCUUGGAUAUUCAGCUUCUAGAGUCGUGAGCAAAUAUUAAUGAAUGCCUGUUGUUCAAGCUACCCAGUCCCUCAUACUUGGUUACAGCAGCCCUGGCCGACUAAUACGGGAGCAUACAGUAUCAGAGUCUGUACAAGGGCAUGCAUCAUCUCUAUUCUCUAUUAAAUACAAUGCUUAAAUUUGGAAAAAUGACAGCAAGAAAACUAUUACAAGGAAGAAACCCAUACUGAUUGGUGAAAUCCAUAUGGAGAGUGGAGCUGUAUCAGAAAAUGUUGAAGUAGUCACCAUGGAUCAAGUUUAUUGAGAAGUCCCAGUGGGCGUAGUGUCACACAUACAUUUUCCCCUUUUGGCCUUACCACAAUCCUGUCAGCUAUGAGCUGUUGCCCUCUCCAUCUUGUGAGGAAACUGAGGCAAGGAAGUUAAGUGACAUCCACAAGAUUUCAGAGCCAGCCAGGGUCAGAGCCAGAAUUCCAAGGCAGGUAUCACUGUGCAGACCUAAGUUGUUGCUUUGACAGUCCUAAGCCCUUGGGAGGUUGGGGGCCAGAGAGGGAUGGUUGUAGGAUCUAUUAUGUUAAUUGGUUAAAAGGUAUUGGGACACAUUGCCUUAAUGAUGUUUUGGUCCCCUCUGCAGAGAGAGGCUAUAAAACAUAUUAUGAGUAUGGUGAAGAUGUCACUUGUAAGACAAUAAGUAUCACUAAUAUUACAGAGCACUCAGGAUCUGUUAACCCUAAUCCAAGCCCUGUACAUACCUGCCUAUUUCUAACUCACAGAGGCCCGAGGAGCUUCCUCAGAGCUUCUUGGGGGUCUGCACCCAGGCCAUCUGACUCCAGCACCUGGACCUCUAACCACUGGGUAGGCACUGCCUUCCCUCACAAGCCCAGCGCCUGUCCAGCAUCUGCUUCUGUCACAGUGAGGGAGAGAGGAGAGAUGGUGGCUGCUAUUUGAGCUUUUAAAAUGGAAAAAUGCUUCAUCCCCCAAAUUUCCUCCUUUUAUUACAAAAAUGAUUUAUGAUAAAUGUAAAGAAUCUAAAAACCGAAUCAAAGCUAGAAUAAACAUUAUCUAUAGUGCCACCCCCUAAAAAGAAUUACAUCUAGUAUUUUUGUCUGCUUUUCUAGUCCUUUUUCCCCCUAUAGAAAUAUACUUAAUAUAGCCAUAAAUAUACUAAUAAGUUUAUAGGCAGCAGCACUCAUUAGAAAAGAGCAAGGGCUUUGGAAUAAGACUUGGGUUUAAAUCCAUUUACUAGUUGUGUGUAUUUGGACAAGUUAUUUCAUUUCCCUCUGUCUCCAUUUUCUGUCUGUAAAAUGGGGAUAAUAACACUUCAUUGGAUUUUGCAGUAGCCUAGUGUAUGUAAUGUGCUCAUUUGUUGCAGCUGGCACACAGUAAGUACUCAAACAACUUUAAAAAGAAGCAGUUUUGGGCUGGGCGCGGUGGCUCACGCCUGUAAUCCCAGUACUUUGGAGGCCAGGGCAGGCGGAUCACGAGGUCAGGAGAUCGAGACCAUCCUGGCUAACACAGUGAAACCUCGUCUCUACUAAAAAUUAAAAAAAAAAUUAGCUGGACGUGGUGGCGGGCGCCUGUAGUCCCAGCUACUCGGGAGGCUGAGGCAGGAGAAUGGCGUGAACCCGGGAGGUGGAGCUUGCAGUGAGCCGAGAUUGUGCCACUGCACUCCAGCCUGGACGACCGAGCGAGACUCCAUCUCAAAAAAAAAAAAAAA